AUUGCUUCUUAGCCUUUUAUGACUCAGAUCAAGUCUAGUACCUGUUCUUAUCAGUUUAACAGCUGAUUAUGUGAGAGCUCUCUGUUAAAUGGAUUUUUAGAGCUAGGGGUUGGAUUAGGGGCUUGCUCUAUCCACUCGCUGCAUCAACCUGGUAUUGCAGUGAUUCUAGGAAUAGUGCAUCUCCC
rnacentral:snRNA from 1 species